GAUUUAGAUCAGGUAGCAAAGGCA
rnacentral:miRNA from 1 species